rnacentral:lncRNA from 1 species
GUUCACUCCUAAUCUUAUCCUCUCUGAGGAUCCAGAAGUUAUAGCACUGAGGACCUUGACACUUUAUGGCUCUGUAUCAGGACCUCUGGGGACUGAGGACAGAGAUGGGACAGCUCCUCUCAUCCUCCAGCUGCUGCCCACUCCUUCCUUGGAAGCCCUGUCCGGAGGCUCUUGUCCAUCUCUGGCCUUGUCCUGCUCCUCCCCCCAGGAGCCUUCUCUGAGUCUCCACACCUGCCCGGCCUCCCUUCUCCCUCAUGGCCCCUGGUGGCUCUCACUCCUUUCUGUCCUUUCUCAUCUGCAGGGAGCCUCAGAGGAGCACGUUUUCCCUCUUGGUGACGGAGCUGCCACCACUCCCCAGUGACAACCCUAGGAGUCCCUGGGGUCUCUCUCACCCACCACACCCCAUGACCCGAGUCUUGCGAAUGUCCCUUCCUGAACGUGACUCACUUCCUCUGCCAACAUCCCCGUGGCCUCUACUCCUGGUCGGUUGUAUUCACUUCCUCUUCUCAGCUUCACGCUGAUCUCCUCCGCAGCCCCGACUCCCCUCUCUCCCACAUGGGUCUUUCAUAUCGUCCACUCGGGGUUCUUUAAGAAGGGCCCCAUCCCUCCCUUGCUCUCACCCUAUGCAAGUCUUUAGCUGACACUUGAGCCCUGCUCAGCCUAGUUCCCUCAUCGUCCUUCAGUGUCACCGUGCCUGGGUACCUCUGCGGUCAUUACUAAAUUCUCUGCCUUGUAUGACCCAUUUGUAAACACUGUCAUGUGCAGCCUGGCUCUGGAGGGGACAAACCCUUAACAGCCCCUCUCCUUUAUCUGCAUCCACUCCUCACUGUCCGUUCCCAGGGCCAGUCUUUGCCCAAUAUUUGAUGCUGGAUGAAGGAAUUUUUAUGUAGUUUCCUUAGCAAGGAUGGUGCUUGAUAUAUCCUCCCGAUAAGUAAGUGCUUUUGAAAUCUAGAAAAAUGAUGCUACUGUUUACAGAAACUUCUCAUCUGAGAUCUUUGUUCUGACCCCAGCAUUUUCCUGUCUGCCUUUCUGUCUUUAGUGUCAGUUUCAGUGCCCCUGUCCUGCCAGAUGGUGAGUGUAUAACAGGGAUCAGGUAUUUGGUGGCUCUCAGGGUGACUUGGUUAGUUUUACUGGUAGAACAAGCUCAGAGAAACUUCUGGCUCAGUGAAAUCCCCCAGGAAGCAAAGCAGACCAGCUGGAGAACCUAGUGGUUUCUGGGAAGCAGGAUGAGCCUGCUCCUUGUCCUGGGGAGACAUUGUCUCAUCCCCAGGGGUGCUCCCUGCAGGCACAUCCUGAGAACGUGGGUAGACAAGUCAGUGCCUUGGGUUUUGGGGGUGCCACCAAGACGAGCACAACACAGAGACUCCAGGGGGACCGCCCUCCGCAGCAGGUUGCCCCCCUCUUCUUAAAGGUGUGGGCGAGCUCAGAGGUCUUCCUUUCCCAGGAAGGACUCAAGACUGUCACGAUGAUCAACGUGUUAGCACCUAAAUCUGGAGCAUUUAGCCGUUUCCCAGAGGAGAACAUAGUAAGGGGGAACCCAUCACUCAGACCCACAGCUCUGAUUUCUCUCCUCUUUCUUUGAGGAGGUUCAGAAAGGAGGUGACGGGAAGGCAGUGACACUGGAGGAAAGUCAGUCCUCUUUGGCACAAAUCCAUUGUCCUAAGCUUUAACAGAAACCAGCUUUGGUUACUUUCCCCAGCUCUUCCCUGGGCCUCUGGGGACGUGGGCUCCAGGAAGGUGGCGUGCUGGUGUCCUCUUUGCUCAGGUGGGAGAUGGGCUGAUGGAUGCUGUUGAGGAGAAAAUGAUGGGGGGGAGGGGUACUGACAAGGUCUAAUGGAGGUUUGAGGGGCGCUGAUAUUUGUUCUAGAAAGUCCUCCCGUUGCCAAGUGAGAAAGACCUGGAAAAUGACAUGCAGAAGUCAUGAGGUCAUCGCACGUUACUAAGGAGUUGGUGGAGACCAUGAAUUCCCAGCCUCACUGAGAGGUCAGUCAUGUGCAGCACGCUUCUUCAAAACCAGGAGGACACGUGGAAAGCUGGAUAAUUACCAAGAAAGAGAAAAUAGAAGACACAGACCACAUCUCCAGAGGCUCCAGACGACGGAGAGAAGAAAUGCCCAGACUCCGAAGACAUAAGUGCACCAGGAUGAGCAGGGCUGCUGGCUCUGGGGAGCAGGACCGGCUCUGAUGGUGUCAUAGACUGUACCUGUAGGAGGGCUGUCACAGAGCACAACCGACACUCAGGAAAGGGGGAAGCCAUCUGGUCUCUCCUGGAUCCCCUGAAACUGUUGAAUUAGCAUAAACUGCACCAGCAAAGUCUGGUGAGAAGCACCUUUUAAAGAACCCUGCUGGAAGACAGUCCUAAGGAAGAGUGACCCCACUUCUUGGUAUUAUGAUGAUCAAUCUCUGGAAUAGAUGGCCCCCUCACCCAUGAGCCCUUGUCACUCAGUUGUCCCCCUCUGUGCCCAUGGCCCAUCUCCCUGAAUCCUUCUCUCUUCAGGUUUGGGAUUUUCAAUCUUAG